GUGGCGUCGCCCACCGGGCGGGGCCUGAGCGGGCGCGGGGCGGGGCCUGAGCCGGCGCCGGGUCCAGCUGGGCGCUCCGCCAGCUGCGUAAACUCCACUGGAGCGCGGCGGUGGAGCAGGCAUUUGCAGCUGUGAGGAGGCAGCCAGAAGCAAGCUUUUGGAACUGAAGGAACCUGAGACAGAAGCUAGUCCCCACUCCGAAUUUUACUGAUGAAGAAGCUGAGGCCACAGAGCUAAAGUGACUUUUCCCAAGGUCGCCCAGGGAGGACUGUGGGACUUCUCAGACAUCAGAAGAGUGAUGUGACGGAGCUGUGUGACCAUAGAAAGUGAUGUGUUAAAAACCAGUACCUCCCUCUUUGAAAGCCAGGGAUCGUUAUCGUUCAUCUAACCUGCUGGGAAGAAGAACCAGUUGUCCGGGAUCCAAACCUUUCUGCGGCCCCAAGUGUUUGUG